UACAGAGGGGGCAAGCGUUGUCCGGAAUUACUGGGCGUACAGCGCGCGCAGGCGGACCGCCACGUGCCGUGUGACAAGCCACUGCUCAACAGUGGAGGGCCAGGGUACACGAGCGGUCUGGAGGCAGGGAGAGGGAUGUGGAAUGCCCGGUGGAGCGGUGAAAUGCGUAGAUAUCUGGAGGAACACCGGUGGCGAAGGCGGCAUCCUGGACCGGCAUUGACGCUGAGGCGCGAAAGCCAGGGGAGCAAACGGG
rnacentral:rRNA from 1 species